rnacentral:tRNA from 1 species
GUGCAUAUAGUUUAUAAAAAUUCUAGUUUGUGAUUCUAGAGAUGAAGAUUAAACCUCUUCUAUUCACC